rnacentral:ncRNA from 14 species
GCGUGGUGGAAUUGGUAGACACAGCAGACUUAAAAUCUGCCUUGGGGCAACCCGAGUGCCGGUUCAAGUCCGGCCGCGGC